GACAGAGGGUGCGAACGUUGCUCGGAAUCACUGGGCGUAAAGCGCGCGUAGGCGGACCGGAAAGUCGGUUGUGAAAUCCCUGGGCUCAACCCAGGAACUGCAUCCGAAACUCCCGGUCUCGAGUGACGGAGAGGAUAGUGGAAUUCCCGGUGUAGAGGUGAAAUUCGUAGAUAUCGGGAGGAACACCAGUGGCGAAGGCGGCUAUCUGGACGUCCACUGACGCUGAGGUGCGAAAGCGUGGGGAGCAAACAGG
rnacentral:rRNA from 1 species